rnacentral:rRNA from 1 species
AUUGAACGCUGGCGGCAUGCUUUACACAUGCAAGUCGAACGGCAGCGCGGGCUUCGGCCUGGCGGCGAGUGGCGAACGGGUGAGUAAUGCAUCGGAACGUGCCCAGUAGUGGGGGAUAGCCCGGCGAAAGCCGGAUUAAUACCGCAUACGACCUGAGGGUGAAAGCGGGGGACCGAAAGGCCUCGCGCUAUUGGAGCGGCCGAUGUCGGAUUAGCUAGUUGGUGGGGUAAAGGCUUACCAAGGCGACGAUCCGUAGCUGGUCUGAGAGGACGACCAGCCAAAGGGGGAAUGAGACAGGGCCCAAAACCCCAGGGGAGGGAGGAGGGGGGAAUUUGGGAAAAUGGGGGAAACCCUGAUCCAGCCAGGCCGGGGGGGGGAAGAAGGCCUUGGGGUUGUAAACCGUUUUUGUUGGGGAAAAAAUCCUCGGGGAUAAAACCCCGGGGGGAUGAAGGUACCGGAAAAAAAAGCACCGGCUAACUACGG